UACAGAGGGUGCGAGCGUUGUCCGGAAUCACUGGGCGUAAAGGGUGCGUAGGCGGGUCUUUUAAGUCAGGGGUGAAAUCCUGGAGCUCAACUCCAGAACUGCCUUUGAUACUGAGGAUCUUGAGUUCGGGAGAGGUGAGUGGAACUGCGAGUGUAGAGGUGAAAUUCGUAGAUAUUCGCAAGAACACCAGUGGCGAAGGCGGCUCACUGGCCCGAUACUGACGCUGAGGCACGAAAGCGUGGGGAGCAAACAGG
rnacentral:rRNA from 1 species